CCACUGUGUAACUCAGGCUCCUUCUGCACCAGGAAGUGGGACUCACCUGGGAUUUGGAUCUUCCUGUAUCUCUAGGUUUCUUUGAAAUCAAUCAUUCAAUCUGCAAUUGUAUUUCUUUAAGGGAUCUGUGUACACAUUGUGAUGAUAAUUUUUCCACAUGUUUAUAGAUUUGAAUAAGUGGAUAAUGGUUUUCAAUGACUUUAUAGGUUGAUGCAAAUGCAAGAACCACUUGCAGUGGCCAAAUUUGAACUCUUCUUUGAGUCACGAUUCUAAGAUCAGUAAUUCAAAAUGACAUUUGCAAAAUCAUGACUGAACAGUAAAUUACAGAGAAGAAGAGCACAGAAGGUAACUCGUGAAACAUCUUAGAGUUUUCAAGGAUCUGCAGGUACGUGGGAUUCAGAAGUUUCAAUGGAGAGGAUCUGGCUACAUCUCAGGAAUAUUGUCAGUACGGUGUUUUCCAAUCAGAGGCCAACACAUAGCACAAGACUUGAUUUGGGAUCUCUACCGUGGAAACUGGAAGGUUCUGCUCUUCAGGGAAGGUGCACAGUGCACAGAGAGGGGACAUGGUGGCCUCUACAGAUGUCCCAUAGGUGCUGGAAUGCUGGAAGAACAAGAUGGAGUAGCAGCACAGAUCUAAUUCCUCUGUCUGAUGUCAUCUCAGUGAUGCACCUGGUUAUCUAUGGUGCUGUAAACAGUUCCAGACUUCUCCUGUAUGGGACUAAUAGGAGAGGUCAGAGUCAAAUCCCAAACAAGAACACCUCACCCUGUCACAUGGGUAUAUAUGUGAUUCCAAAGUGGGAAGACGAAGUUUAACUUAGAAAAUACAAUGAGAAUGCAUAAAUAUUGACUGUUUUCAUACAGUAUGAGACUUAAGAAGUGCAUAAAUAAAUACUGGUGGGUGAGCAUAGUGGUGUCAAUGUGUGUGCAUGCACAUACAGUGACAUCACCUUUCAAUAAAGAGCUAUAUAUCAUACUUCUCAGAAAAGAAAACUAUUUUAUUCAUGCUGUACAUCUACAGGCUCUUUGCUAACAUUGCCUGAAGGCUCUUCAUGCCACACCCUUCCACUGGGGAAAUGCUACAUUUCAUUUUCUUCAUGCAUUCUGAGGACAGAGACCUAGAAUCUUCCAAUCCUCUUCCCUGUCAGUCCCAGUGUUUGCCUUUUCUGAAUACAAGGGCCAGUUUUGUAGGCAGCAACUGGGCAGAGAUCAGGUGAGGCAUCUUCUGUUCCACAUAGGUCAGCAAGGGUAAUGACGUAGACACCAAACAAUACCAAUGCCAAUACAAGAUGUUGGUUAGUAGAGAGGACACUUCCUGGAAAAUUGGAAGAGGCUCAUAAAUAGAAGUUAUCAUAUGUGUGGAUUCAACUCCACAGACCAAGGUAUAUUCCUUUCCUUCCCUCAUAGAACAACACAGGAAGUUCCUCCUGAAUCAGUCUGUUUCUAUGCACCACGGACUUAUCUUCAGGUUUGCACUGGUGCAUCAAGAGGCUUGACCUUGGGCCCCAUGGCCAGGGCCACCCAAGGACACUGGCUCCAGGCCUGCCAAUUAUCUCUGUCUGAGCUGAAGGAUGAAGAGUUGCACAAAGUCAGUCUAGAAGUACAGACAUUCUUUGUUUAAUGAAUUACCUGUUUAACAACUGUUCAGACUUACCACCAAGGCGGCCUGUUUAGACUUACAAUCUGCCACUCAGACUUCUAAUCCAUGCUUUUACAUACAGUUCUGCACAUCUUUUUUUACAGAGCCUCAAUGUCUUUUUUGUACAGUAAACCUUGUUUAUACAGUACUGUAAUUUUUGCUGAUUGUACUAUACAGUAGAGUUCUACAGUUUUAGGUUCUCUUAUACAUUACAGGACUCCAUGUAAGAUGCAGGCAGACAAAAAAAAGUCAUUGAGUUGGAAUUUUCUUUGUUCAUUUCUUUGUUCUUUGUAUUGUAAUGUACAAACAUAUACAAUUCCUCAUUUAAGAAUCUACCAGUGGGAAGUUAAUUUGGUUGCUAAAAAAGAGGAAUGACUGUACUAAAAUCAUGACUGCUUUAAAUGUGCAGACUCCAGUGGUCAUGUAGAAUCAAGGAAAUGUGACAUUACCAAGAAGAAAAAAAUAUCAAGUGACCCACUCCCCCAAAUGAAGACCUACUAAUGGGCUGACAACAGUAAAUCUAAACAAUGCCCUUGAGACGAAGGAGGGACUGGGCUGCUAAAAAAGAGGAAUGACUGUACUAAAAUCAUGACUGCUUUAAAUGUGCAGACUCCAGUGGUCAUGUAGAAUCAAGGAAAUGUGACAUUACCAAGAAGAAAAAAAUAUCAAGUGACCCACUCCCCCAAAUGAAGACCUACUAAUGGGCUGACAACAGUAAAUCUAAACAAUGCCCUUGAGACUAAGGAGGGACUGGGAAUGCAGGCACAAACCUGCACAUGAGCCUGCAGACCUUGCAUGAGCUCAUGAAUUUGCUAAAGAGCAUGACAAGACACAAAGAUCCAGAGGAAUUGCUGGACAGAUAGGGUUUUGCAUCAGGAUAAAUUUGAAGCAGGAACAGGACAGGACACUGGGGUCCCCACUGCCACUCAACCCCCAGGCCACAGACAAGAGGGGAUGGGGGAUAAAGCAGUAGAGAGGACAAGUCACAGAUUUCAUAGGUUUCAUGGAGAGUCCCCAGAUUCUGCAGACACCAGGUAGUCCAUCUGUAUCCAUCUCAGAGCACCUUGCCCCAUGCUUACAUUUCCAGCUUUUGUAGCAUUUCUAUGUCUAUACAAUUCAUGCAGUCUGUGGAAGUCACACAGCAAGGGAGGCUCAAACUCUCAGACCUUUUCUAAAGAAGACAUCAGGUCUGAAGUAUGCCAGCAAAAAUAUAAAGGAAGACUCCACAUUAUGUGUUGAACUGCUUUCUCUCUCCUGCUGUCCAAUGCUGGAAUCAUACAGCCUUCCUGCAUCUCUCAAUAGCUGGUGAUCAAAAAUCUACCCUCUGAGAUGUGAAGGAUAGGAGAAGUGAUCUUAUAUCUGGUUCUGAUGAGCAAAGUGACAGAUCCCAUCCCUGGGUUACACCUGGAGUGCAGAAGUGGCCCACCUGGUGAUUAGGGCAUUUAAAUUGAGGUUGGUCCUGUCUUUCCAGAGCUGGCAUCUGCUUUUAACUGUAUUUGGUGGAUGUUUCCUGCUUCUUCCUCCUGUGAAUAGGGCCUCAGUUAUACUCAAGUGAUUUCAGACUGUCCUGAGGAAACAACUGACCUCAGAGGAGAGCUGCUGAGAGCAGGUCAGGCCCCCUCAUACACGACAGUGUGUGAUGUCCUCCUUGAGCAGUGUGGAAAGAGCCAGUUCCUUUCAUUGCCUUAUUAGGAAAGAAGGCCUUUUCAAGAUGAGAAUUGAAUCCAGAACAUUUAUACUGAGCUACACCCUAGCCUCUUUUUUAUUUUGUUUUGCUUUAUUCUUUAUUUUGAGUCAGGGUUUUGCUAUGUUCCUAAGUUUCCCAGGCUGAGUUCAAAUUGUAAACAUGUAAUCCUUUUUUUCUCAGCUAUCCAGAUUGCUGAGGUUAUAGGAAUGUACCACCAUGCCUGGAUUUGACUCAUUCUAAUAAAAUAAUAAAAGCAUGAAACAGGGAAAUAUAGUUAUUACAUAUGUUCUUGCACAUACUGCAGUUAUUUGGCAGUAAUACUACACAAAAUAAUCAAGAAUGGGGAAAAAAAGCCAUCUAAUUCUCCCAAGGUCCCAGGAAAAACCAUAUUCAGACAGUUAGACAUCUUCUCAAUGUAGCGGGCCAAGCAUCAAAGGGAAAUUCAUUUCUCUUUCUCUGCAGCCCCAAGACUGGCCUCAACUGGAAUGCAUGAUUAUUCUACAUCACAACACUGAUGAGUUAAAACAAGCAUGUUGAAUCCACAUUUUUGAAAAUGACUUUUUGAGAGUACUUGAUUCAUACUGUUAACUGAUAAAGUAGAAAAGAAAAAUGCUAAGAGAAUUCUUAUGUAUUUAAAACCUGACAAAUAAAUACAUCUUUGACAAUAAAAAUAAGUCUACAAACAAUUACUCAUGUGUGAUCAAACUAGUUUGUAAAACAACUAAUCAAACAUGAACUCUCUCUUGUUCCCUCAGCCUCAUGAAUUCUACUUCCCAGGUGAUGCUUGUUUCCUGGUGCUGUCUGCCUUGAAGGCACAUGGCCAUUUUUUUGGGUCUAGACAUUCCCUCAAAGCCACAUGUGGUCAUAGUUCAGGUUUUUCAGAGAUGGCUGAUCUAGGUCAUGUCAUCUAGGGUUCUCCACCCUGGGUGUGGAUGGCACCACCCAAAGGGCAGGUACGCUUGGUUGUGGCUACUGCUGCUUCACUGCCUUGCUGCUUUCUGCCUGCUAAGAACUGUUUCUGCCUUGUGAUAUCCCUAUGAAGUACCAAUUUGGCUUGCAGCCAGCCAAUGAUGGACUCAACCACGAACUCAGCCAAAAUAAACAUUUUGUCCUUUAACUUUGGAUGGUGGAUAUUUUGUCUCAGCAAUGAGAAAAGUAACUUAUAUACACAUGUUCUGCUUAAACUUUGAAAAUGUCUCUGUACUUCACCUGCGUCACCACUGUAGGAGAAUAAAGGGAGACACAAACAAAAGUUCAGGGCAAACCAUGGAUGACUAACAUUGUAAAAUCAUCGUAUCAUUCCUAUGUGUCUGAGUAUUUGAAGAUCAUCACAUACUUAUCAUGUGUUGUGUGCUUGAAAAAAAUAUAUUCUAUUGUAUCCUUUAUAAAAAUGUUACUCACACUCACAGCAUGCCUAAGAAAUCCCCAGCUGAACCUGGCCCCUUCCCAGACACAAAGGCUAAAACCCUGCUUGCCCUAGCCAAUGCCAAUCAGCAAAACAGUUUGUCCUUAUAAGUAUGGGGGCAUUUCAUACUUACUGGGCCAUUGCUACCAGGAAGCUCCCAUUUUGUACACCACUCUGUUAAGAUAGCUCUUCUGCUUCUUCUGCAUUUGCCACCUAUGCUAAGAGGUGAUCCUUUAGGCCAGGUUGGAGUCAUUGGCCAUGGAUAAGGGAAGAGUGAAUCAGGAGUCCUCUUGCAUUUCCAGACAUUCUCUUUGCCAAGAAACUCUGGGCUAUGGCUUCUCUCUCUUCAAUAUUCAGGAUGCUGGUAUUUGAAGGUAACUGACUUUAUUGUAAAGAUAUUCUGUUUACCUUAUGAUUUAAUGAGAAAAAUAAAUGAUAUGCAAGAGGGAAUACAGAGAUAUAUAUUUCAAAAAUGAGAAAUAAUUGGAUGGAAAAGGUAGAGAGAGCUUGGCAAGGGGAAGUAAAAAAAAAUUCAGAUGUGUUAUAUAAAUAAACUCAAACAAAUGAACCUAACAGAUGUUUACAGAGUGUUCCACCCCCCAAAAUCAGAAUACACAUUGUUUUCAGCUGCAAACAGCUUGUUCUCCAAAACAGAUCACAUACUUGCUCAUACAACUUGAUUAAGUAAGUGUAAAGGAAUUGAA
rnacentral:lncRNA from 1 species